rnacentral:sRNA from 1 species
ACAGCUACCUUAGAGGGCAUCUCCUCCGCC